rnacentral:rRNA from 1 species
GACGAACGCUGGCGGCGUGCUUAACACAUGCAAGUCGAGCGGAAAGGCCCUUCGGGGUACUCGAGCGGCGAACGGGUGAGUAACACGUGAGUAACCUGCCCCAGACUUUGGGAUAACCCUCGGAAACGGGGGCUAAUACCGGAUACGACACAGCUUCGCAUGGGGUCUGUGUGGAAAGUUUUUCCGUUUGGGAUGGGCUCGCGGCCUAUCAGCUUGUUGGUGGGGUGAUGGCCUACCAAGGCGACGACGGGUAGCCGGCCUGAGAGGGCGACCGGCCACACUGGGACUGAGACACGGCCCAGACUCCUACGGGAGGCAGCAGUGGGGAAUAUUGCACAAUGGGCGGAAGCCUGAUGCAGCGACGCCGCGUGAGGGAUGACGGCCUUCGGGUUGUAAACCUCUUUCAGCAGGGACGAAGCGUAAGUGACGGUACCUGCAGAAGAAGCGCCGGCCAACUACGUG